CAGCCGCCACGGUAAUCCGUAGGUGGCAAGCGUUGUCCGGAAUUAUUGGGCGUAAAGGGCUCGCAGGCGGUUUCUUAAGUCUGAUGUGAAAGCCCCCGGCUCAACCGGGGAGGGUCAUUGGAAACUGGGAAACUUGAGUGCAGAAGAGGAGAGUGGAAUUCCACGUGUAGCGGUGAAAUGCGUAGAGAUGUGGAGGAACACCAGUGGCGAAGGCGACUCUCUGGUCUGUAACUGACGCUGAGGAGCGAAAGCGUGGGGAGCGAACAGGAUUAGAUACCCGGGUAGUCCCUGUCUCUUAUAC
rnacentral:rRNA from 1 species